rnacentral:rRNA from 1 species
GCAUAUCAAUAAGCGGAGGAAAAGAAACUAACAAGGAUUCCCCCUAGUAACUGCGAGUGAAGCGGGAAAAAGCUCAAAUUUAAAAUCUGGCGGUCUUUGGCUGUCCGAGUUGUAAUCUAGAGAAGUGUUAUCCGCGCUGGACCGUGUACAAGUCUCCUGGAAUGGAGCGUCAUAGAGGGUGAGAAUCCCGUCUUUGACACGGACUGCCAGGGCUUUGUGAUGCACUCUCAAAGAGUCGAGUUGUUUGGGAAUGCAGCUCAAAAUGGGUGGUAAAUUCCAUCUAAAGCUAAAUAUUGGCGAGAGACCGAUAGCGAACAAGUACCGUGAGGGAAAGAUGAAAAGAACUUUGGAAAGAGAGUUAAACAGUACGUGAAAUUGCUGAAAGGGAAACGCUUGAAGUCAGUCGCGUUGGCCAGGAAUCAACCUUGCUCUUUUGCUUGGCGUACUUUCUGGUUGACGGGUCAGCAUCAAUUUUGACCGUUGGAUAAAGGCUUGGGGAAUGUGGCAUCUUCGGAUGUGUUAUAGCCCCUGGUUGCAUACAACGGUUGGGAUUGAGGAACUCAGCAUGCCGCAAGGCCGGGUUUUUAACCACGUUCGUGCUUAGGAUGCUGGCAUAAUGGCUUUAAUCGACCCGUCUUGAAACACGGACCAAGGAGUCUAACAUGCCUGCGAGUGUUUGGGUGGAAAACCCGGACGCGUAAUGAAAGUGAAAGUUGAGAUCCCUGUCGCGGGGAGCAUCGACGCCCGGACCAGAAAUUUAUGGACGGUUCCGCGGUAGAGCAUGUAUGUUGGGACCCGAAAGAUGGUGAACUAUGCCUGAAUAGGGUGAAGCCAGAGGAAACUCUGGUGGAGGCUCGUAGCGAUUCUGACGUGCAAAUCGAUCGUCAAAUUUGGGUAUAGGGGCGAAAGACUAAUCGAACCAUCUAGUAGCUGGGUUCCUGCGAG